rnacentral:lncRNA from 1 species
CAUGUGAGGGUGUCCCUCGGCAUUGCAACAUAAGCUCCUAUUAAUUAGAAGCACUACUAGUUGAAUGAAAUCCUCAGUCUAGCAGUGCUUCCUAUAUUUUCAGCCUGUUUAUCCACUUGGCCAAAUUGAAUGAAUUCCUAUGGAUCCCGGAUUAACAUUAUUAGUGUUAAUUCAGGAAGGCCACUCAACAUGAGCAGCAGAAUUGCACACAAGAUUACAAUACUGGAUAGUGCAGUCAUGGAGAGGCCAUAUUUUCAUGGUCAAUAUGCUUGGAAAUACAAUGAAGUGCCACAAAAACUGCUCACUGGAUGGACAGGUUAGAUAUACAGAAAGUCUACAUUAUUUGGAAAGAUGACAGGCAUGUUGCCUUCUCAGGUUGAUAUAAUGUAAUGUUUCCUUUUUCUCAAAGAAAAAAAAGUCAAAUUCUACUUGGACAUGCUGUAAACAUCAAUUAAGUAGUAACAACCAUAGGCACGAUAUCUGCAUUAGUAUACUUACACGUGAGAUCAAUUGUCCCCCAGUCAAAGGCCUGCAUGCUGUCUCCUCUACCUUCAGCGCCGUCCAUUGAGGAUUCAAUCCAAAAUCACAUUGAGAAGCCGCUGCAGAUAGUUGUACCUGAGAUUCAGAUGUCAAGGAAGGAGUUGCUGGGAUCAGGACACACUGGAAUCAACACAUCGUCAUUGUUUCUUUCACGAAGACGACGACUCACCCGUGGCCUGUGGAGGUCGCCUGGGCAAGGAGCCACCAGUAGUUACCACCAGAAUGGAAUCCUUAGAAGGUGGAGGUGUGAUUGAUUUGAUUAUGUACGUAGUUUAUGUAGGGAAUUUCAUGGACUUUUAGCUAGGGUUUUGAAUUUAGGGGGAAAAUAAAUAGGAGGAUUCAAGGUCGCCGGUGGAAAACAUCACAAAAUGCAAGCAACACUAACGAAUGAGCUGGAUGAGAAUGAAACUAAGACAAGAGAGGAGCACAGGGAGGAGCGUACCUUGCUGGGAGCUGAGCAGAGCAAGAUGACGAUGAGUUCGACCUAUGCGAGACCUUGCACCGCCGCCACCCUGGUCUUCGCGCUUCCCCACGGCCACUCCUCAUCUAUGCCGCCACCGCCUCCUGCUCAGCCACAGCCGCCGCCGCCGCCCCGGAUGAGAGAGGCGCGGGCUGGCUGCAAGCCGUAAGAACGCGACGGAGGUGCGAGGCUGCGGCGGGUGGCGUGGAUGAGGCACCCCAAAACCUAAUCGCCCGACGGCGAGGAGAAUCGGAGAGGGAGAGGAGGGAGAGGAUGUUGCGGCGGCGGCGUGGCAUCGGGAGUGAGCGGAGGGUGGAAGGAGAGGAGAAGAGAGGAGAGGAAGGGGAACGCGGCGGCGGCGACGAGCGGCGUGGGCGCGGCGGGCGUCGGGAGGAU